CUCGACAACGAGGUAGCACUGGCGGAGUUUGAAUCUUGGCUCGAGGUGGAUUCAAAUCGCGAAUUACUGGUUGAAUAUUUGGCAUUUUCAACUGCGACACAGAUCGAGGCGAGGACUAGAAAAAUCUUGAAAAAAUUAUUUACGAAUGAAUUUGGCAGGCGAAUUAAUUUUACGGGUAAAGGAAACAAGACAUCGAUGAAAAACCUAAAACUAUUGGAAGUCGUAAAAGAAACCGUGCGAAACGUCUUUACAGUUGAGUCCGUUCCCGAUCCCAAAAAUCCCAGCGGCCGUAUUCCCACCGAUGAUAUAAUUCAAACUGCAGCAAUGAAUUGGUUUCGUUCUUCAAAAAGUAGGUGCAACGACGACGCUCCCUCGGGAAUUGCAUCAUAAUCAUGGAUCGAGAUGGAAAAUCACCGAGAAACAUUAAUCGAAUAAUUGCAAAA